rnacentral:rRNA from 1 species
UACGAAGGGGGCUAGCGUUGCUCGGAAUCACUGGGCGUAAAGCGCACGUAGGCGGAUUGCUAAGUCAGGGGUGAAAUCCUGGAGCUCAACUCCAAAACUGCCUUUGAUACUGGCGGUCUCGAGUCCGGGAGAGGUGAGUGGAACUGCGAGUGUAGAGGUGAAAUUCGUAGAUAUUCGCAAGAACACCAGUGGCGAAGGCGGCUCACUGGCCCGGUACUGACGCUGAGGUGCGAAAGCGUGGGGAGCAAACAGG